AUGCUGCACAGCUUUCUUUUCCUGCAUCUUUGCUGUACACGCAUCUGGGAACUUGACAAGCUGUCACAAGGCGGAGGAAAUAAACAGAUGUGGACUGCUGAUAAGAAUCUGGUGAACAUUCAGAGCCUGGCGCUGAUUUGCCCCAUGGCUUGCUCGUUAUCGGAACACCAUUAUAAACUCUCACCUGGGGAAGCGCUCCAGCCUGCCCGAGCAACUUGCAUCUGGCGUCAAUCGUGGCCAUAAAACCAGCCCAUGAGUCAUCGAACAGCCCAGGUGUCUACAAUUCCCCACUUCCACAGCACCUGACGGCAUGUGGCCACUUUCAGAUCACAAUCUCCCUGUCUCUAUUUAAGGAUGGUGAAGAGAGCUCUAAGAGGUGUAGUCCAGUCCCGGACAUGCUUAGGGCUGAAUGAAACACUCUCACUCAUUUCCCGAAAAGUCAGCACACACUGUGAGUGAUCAAAGUGGAAUGACAUGCUCAAGGAGGGUAAGAGCAACUGCACGAACACCAGCAGUGUGGCUUGCAUAACCGGCAGAUGCCUGCUCUUGAAAAAGAUUGUCCUGACUUGCAAAUCUGUUCCUUGUUCGAUGGCGAGAAGAGUGUGUCGGUGGUACCCACACUUGGAGGUCUCAGUUGUCUAGAGAGCUUCUACACAGUUCAAGAUAAGGCAGCAGUUAAGACCAAGCUCCUUUCUGGCUGAGUCUGUGGUUUUUCCAGGGUUUUGAGACAUAGAAAUGGUGCAAAAAAAUUAAACUUUUUUUUUGUUUCUGAAGUUACAGAAGAAGAACUAAUGCACAACACUGUGUAUGGAAGCCUGCUGUAUAUACAGGAGUAAAGAAUUCUCCUGUCAGUGAAGGGAACAUGGGUUCAAUCCUUGGUCCAGGAAGAUCCCACAUGCUGCAAGACAACGAAGCCUGAAAGCCCGUGCACCACAGCUGCUGGGCCUGUGCUCUGCGGCAGGAGAAGCCACAGCAGUGAGAAGCUGCACGCAAGAGAGCAGCCCUGCCCGGCGCAACUAGAGAGAAGCCUGCACAGCCACAAGCGUGCAGCCCAGCCAAGAAUAAAAGAAAUAAAAAUCACCUUCUAAAAAUGGUUAAUCUUACAUCACAUGAACUGUACCUCAAUAAAGUUUAAUUUUAAAAUUCUAGGGGGAAAAGUAGCUGAGGAAUUAAGCCCAAAACAUCUAGAAAUCAAUUUUGGAUUAAUUCAUUCUACAAACAUUUUUGCACACUCAGUAAAGAUUGAAGGCAAAAGAAGAAGGAGGCAGCAGAGAAUGAGAUGAUUAGAUAGCUAAUCACUGACUCAGUGGACAUGAAUUCGAAUAAAUUCUGGGAGACAGUGGAAGACAGAGGAGCCUGGUGUGCUGCAGUCCAUGGGGUCGCAAAGGGGUGGACAUGACUUAGCUACUGAACAGCAACGAAUUUCUUAGCACAUCCCCACGACUGCACAAUAUAUUUUAACAUUAAUGAUAUAAGCAACUCUGAAGCAAAUUAAUUUUUAAAAGGUUAUAAAUUUGGACCAUGGAACAAUAGAUUCAACUGAUGAGUUCAGAGUGAAUUCUUUCCGUUGCCUUCAAGUCUUCCUACCCCAAAAUCUUACUUAGUAAAAACUGGCCGAUCUCUAGUUACCUGAGAGAUUCCCUUACCUUGUAAGUUAGGCUCAAUAUGACAUGAAUAGCCUUCAAUCAAGUCAAUGAAAGUGUUUUAGAAGGAUAAGGGUAAAAUAAAUAUAUCUUGGGCUGUAGUUUAUUUCUCUUUCUCUUCACUUAUUUUGAAAAUCAACACUUCUGAGGUAUAAUUUACAUUUAAUAAAAUGUCCCAUGAUAUCUAGGCAUGGAUUUGCUGACUCACCUUCCCUGGCGGCUCAGAUAGUAAAG
ensembl:lncRNA